ACCACCGCACCCAGAGUUUUCCGGCUUUUGCUAUCUACAAACUCGAGUCUGCACUGCAGUUGGCCCACCACACCAGGAGUCACGUCAGCUCUGUGAAGGCGGACCGGCGGCAGGAUGUCCGAUCCUCCUGACUGAGAUUUUCCAUGUCUUCAGAGGUCAUGGGCACAGCCACAGACAUUUUGCGGUACCUGGUGUUAUCAGUUAGCUUCAGGAUACAUGAGCAAUGAACUAUUUCCUACACUAUUAUAUCCUGAAAGAAUUAGCAUUACUACACUUGCUACCAGUUUGCUUCUAUCUCAUCCCAAGGAGAAAUUUAUCCUGCGGCUCUGCCACUGCUAUAUAAGAACUGAAAGAUUGUUGUUGUAUCAUAUUUAUCUCAAGCUUACAUUACAUUUUCAAUACUUACCAAAGCAGAAGUAACAUUACUUUGACAUUUACAGUAUGCCUUCAAUGUGGAUAAUCAGUUUCAACAACUUGUCCAGAUAUCUUCUUUAUCUUUGCUGGAAUGUUCCAACAAGAAAACAAGGGUUUAAUAUUUGUUGCUUUCCCUACAAGCAGUAGAAGAAUUUGUCGGGAUGCAAUGAUACAAAUAAAUUAAUAUUAUAAAUAAAUCUCUCCGAAAGGUCCUGUC